rnacentral:rRNA from 1 species
CCUACGGGAGGCAGCAGUGGAGAAUAUUGGACAAUGGGCGAAAGCCUGAUCCAGCCAUGCCGCGUGUGUGAAGAAGGUCUUCGGAUUGUAAAGCACUUUAAGUUGGGAGGAAGGGCAGUUACCUAAUACGGAUUGUUUUGACGUUACCGACAGAAUAAGCACCGGCUAACUCUGUGCCAGCAGCCGCGGUAAU